AAAGACCUCUCAAUGCGGCGCAACUACUGUUCAUCUUCUCCCUCACCAAAACUCAUCUCUGCCUCGCCCAAAACUCAUCCGAGUUCACCCCUUAACUCACCUCACACGCUUUCCCCCUCUCUCCCCUUGCCAUAUAGGUGUAACGGCCUCUGACACCCGAAGAUUCCCCUCCUUUUUACUCGCCCGAUUUCAACCCAUUUCACGCGAUUAGUAGGCUCUAGAAGACGUGCGUUGGAUGAGUGAGAGGUAUUGGAUCGAUUUCACUCAAUCCAAGCCUCACAUUCAUCAGGUGUUCGAAUUCAAGAGGGCCCUAUCAUAUUUCUUGAAGAAGAAGAAAAAAUCUAGGGAGAUAGGGAAAUAAGGGAUUUUGAGAGAAAUUAGAAAAGAAAAUGGAGGAUUUGUUCUGAGUUUUCCUUUUUUAGUUGGUUUUAUUCUUUCUGUCUUCUUCCCGAUUUUUAAAAGAGAACGAAAAAACUUUCCAGUUCUUUUUUGCUUGUUCUUAGUUUGCUUCCAAAAAUCUGAAAAUUCAAAAAAAAGUUCCAUUUUCCUUCUAUGAUUUCCGUUCAAGUGAAGUUGAUUUAAGCGAGCUCGUCACUGUUGAGAGCUGUUGAUCGAGUUUCUCUCGUGACUGCUAAGUCCUGUUUCUCUGUUGUUGCUUUGUUUUGAAUUUUCACUGCUGAACCUUUCUUGUAUUCUGCUCCUGGAAGUAGUUGAAGUUUUGCGCAUUCAGGUGUAUUUCUUCUCCUGUACUACUUUGUUUAGAUGGUUUAAAACACGGUUAAGAAGUUCAGUCUUGAUUAAAUUGAAAUUUAUGCAUUGUUGAUGUGAUAAGUUGCAUUUUGAUAAAAUAUGCGGCUGCUAGUAGAGCACGAAUCUGCGAUGCCUUUACUCUCGAAUUCUUGCUGUUUGUUUUCAUUAGUUUGCUUUGUUUGGCUGAAGCUUGGCUAGUUGUGAAAAUAUUAGCUGAAUCUCAUUCUAGCGAUGUGUUAUGUUGUGAUUUUUUAUGAACAUUUAGUAUAUUCUUCUCAGUUGGAGCCUGAAAGAGUGCUGGAAAUAAGUUUUUUUUUCUGCAUGUUGAUAAUCUAGUCUAUGCGGAUGUUGCUCUAAACUUGCUGCUGUUCCUUGUUCUGCUGUGUCCCUAUGUCAACUGAUAGCCCUAUUUGACCGAGAAACAAUUGCUGUUGGAAUUCAUGUGUCAAAAGCUGGAGUGAUUGUGAACAUCAACUGUUUGGUGUAAAUCCUAUGUGCUUGAGUUGAUAAUUUUAUUAGACCUGAAAGUUUAAGUUUCAAGUUAUACAAUUGAUGAGGAAGUGCAGCUGUCCAGGUCUACUUGUUUGUUUCCUUUAACCUAAAAUGUGCAUUUGUGUGAUAACUUGUUGUUUAAUUAAGCGAGAUGUUCCUCAUUUGGAAUGAUAAUAGCUAUACCCCUAUCUUGUGCUUUUUUUAAUUGAAAGAUUAGCCCCUCCUUCUGAACAUGAUCUAUUUUAGACCCUCUGAUUCAAGUCGCCUAUAGGCUAAGUUUUGUGAACUAAAAUUUCAAAAAUGAUCGAGGUAUUGUCAGGUUUGUCGAGGUACUGUUAGGUUCUCGUUUGUUGAGUUUAGCUGAUUCUCAUUGCGAAAUCUUGUUGUUAUCCUCUGUUAAGAUACACAUCAGUUUGGUUUCUCUUUGGUUAUGGUUUAGGCAAGAUUUCAGCAUCCACGUUAAAGGCUCAAGUAGGAUUUUAACUUGGAUUUUGCAAGUGUUUUGUUUCUGCUCCGCAAUGCUUAUUCAAGACGGAAACUGAAUUAGAACUUGGUGGUGUAUCGCUGUCCUUGCAAAAUUGAAGCAGUUAAGUGAUUUUACACUCAAAUGACCCAUGAUAUGCAUAAAAGGAAAUUGACUCUUGGCUUUAGCUUGAUGUUUGCUUCUUACUUUCUUAUUCCUUCUUAGAGCCGCAGAUUUUUUUAGUAUAAAUGUGUAGUUGAUGACAAAUGUUUGCUUGGAUCAAGCAUGUUUCAUGCUGUGCGAAAGUUAUUUGUAAAUGAAUCCUAUUUUGCAAAUAUAUCUCAAUAUUAGUGUGAAUUCUGAUGGUGUAAGACCCCCAAGAUAGAGCUCAAACCUCACAGCUAAUCUCCCCCAGAUCCGCAUUUUAAACUCGACAGAACCCAACCAAAAGCGCAGCUGAACCUCGUCCCGAAACCCAUCAUAGUUUUAGCCACAAAACUUGCCUGAAACCUUCAUGAAACAGUCCGGAAAUCAAUCCCUCACACCUCUAAAAGAGCGGCAAUUCAAGCACCAUUCCAGCCAUGUGACUCUUCUGUGGUAUUGCUGAGUUCUGCUGCUACAUACUGUUAUGGUAAAUCUGUUGAGUCUUGAAUCAAAUAAUAAUGUACUACUGUGUUUGGUGCAUAGAUGUGUA
rnacentral:lncRNA from 1 species